rnacentral:rRNA from 1 species
AGUCUGAUGGGAAAACCUUUGGCCCUACCGGGGAAUUGCAUAAGAAACUGUUGAACUUGAGUGCAGAAGAGGAGAGUGGAACUCCAUGUGUAGCGGUGGAAUGCGUAGAUAUAUGGAAGAACACCAGUGGCGAAGGCGGCUCUCUGGUCUGCAACUGACGCUGAGGCUCGAAAGCAUGGGUAGCGAA